GACGAACGCUGGCGGCGUGCUUAACACAUGCAAGUCGAACGGAAAGGCCCCUUUGGGGGUACUCGAGUGGCGAACGGGUGAGUAACACGUGAGUAACCUGCCCUUGACUUCGGGAUAACUUCAGGAAACUGGGGCUAAUACCGGAUAGGAAUCCUUGCUGCAUGGUGGGGGUUGGAAAGCUUCGGCGGUUUUGGAUGGACUCGCGGCUUAUCAGCUUGUUGGUGGGGUAGUGGCUUACCAAGGCUUUGACGGGUAGCCGGCCUGAGAGGGCAACCGGCCACAUUGGGACUGAGAUACGGCCCAGACUCCUACGGGAGGCAGCAGGGGGGAAUAUUGCACAAUGGGCGGAAGCCGGAUGCAGCAACGCCGCGUGCGGGAUGACGGCCUUCGGGUUGUAAACCGCUUUCAGCAGGGGCGAAGCUUGUGGUGACGGUACCUGCAGAAGAAGCACCGGCUAACUACGUG
rnacentral:rRNA from 1 species